AGACCGAAAAUAGUGCGCUCCCUAUACCUCCCCGCUUUCGCAAAAGGGCUGGUGGUCUGUUCCGCCCGAGAUGGCCGGCUGUCGCGCAUCAUGGGAAUUAGCCAGCAGAGAGACAGAGAGAGGAGCUAGACAGAAGCUGCAGAGAGGGGAACAAUGGAUCUGGAGUUUCAAUGUGCAUCGCUGAAUGGCACCCCCAGUCCUUGAGCUCUGGGGCCAGAUUUACCAUUAUUUGCCUCAGAGACAUCUGUUUACCACCCUGUCUUUGCAGGAACACUGUGCUAAAAAGAAUCGACUGAUCAGUGACUCCUGGCCAGCGGAGGAGCAUUCCAUGGAAGUCGCUGACCGGCAAUAGCAGUUAGUCACUGAGCUGUGGGGGCAGGACCCAUGGGAUGGGUGUGCCUCUUCUUCGGAAACUCCAAUGCCGGGCGUGGCAGGUGAACCACCCCCAACCCCCCAGUGUGCCCACUACUCCCAGUUCCAACAGUGACACAGCAGUGUUGGGUGGAUCCACACAUCCCCCGCAUGUAAACACACAUGCACGCAGACAGCGUCUAGACCAAGAAAGUACAGACUGAGGUUUCUUGUUAAAUGGGAAUUAUGUUCAACAAAGCAAGAUCUUGCGUAGGGAAAAAAAAAAAGUAAAGACAGACAUAGAAAACUACAAAAAAAGUAACAUGUUUACAGACGAUGGGUGAACCUUGUAGUGGCAAUGACCAGAUACGAAAAGCUGAAUCCCUCCAUCGGACUGGAACAUAGAGUUGAGUCGCCCAAGAUCUAAGAAGCUGAGUAAGGGGUGGAGACCCACGACUUGGAGAGGAUUGACGACGACUCGGUUCUCUCCAUCUCAUCUGGGCCGUCUUCAUUCCCAUCCACAACAGAAGAGGACAGGAAUGCAGCCAAGCCUGCUGAGGUCGACGAGACCGACUGGGUGCGACCCUGACUGAGCACAGAAGGGGCAGACUGUCCAGUGAGAGCUGGCUGACUCAGGAGGAUCUGGAUAUAAAGAGGGUUGUGUUGCAGAGAAUAGACGCUUUGGGCCAGGAGUUUUCGGCGACGAUAUCGUCGACAAUGGAAUGGCUGACUUCGAACAGUGAAAGACGUACCAGUGCCACUGUGGAAGACGUACCAGUGCCACUGUGGACUGCACAGCACAAACAUUACAGCACAUGGCUCCUCCAUAUCGUCAUCCAAACCAGUUUACACAUCCCAACAUGCAUGUACCUCAUUGAAAUAGACUACACAAACAAUCAGCUUUAGUACUUGUGUAAUUUGUGUAUAUAUGGUAUACAUGAGUAUUUGAUAAUAUGUACAUUUCUCAUUUGCACAAUCAGGCAAAACUUUCCAGAGUAUUUUUUAGAAUAUAUUUUAU